AUAGAAACUCUUAGAGGCUGACACAAAUUGGUGGCCACAGACUGAUAAAACCCUUCCACAAGGGCUGGUGAUGGGUCGCCUCGGUGAGGUCAAGAGCUGAGAGGACCCCCCUCGGGUAGCAAGAAGGAAAAACAUGUGAAAUCCAACAUUAAGGCCUAGCAGCUGAAGUUAACACACUGUGCAUCGGGUAAGCGUGGGGUAAUCACUAAGUCAAACCCUACCUCCGGUUUGGACCUCAUGAGACCGCUCAAUGCUAAGCGUAGCCAUUAUGAGGUUUAACGGUCGAAAUCUUGCUCAACCAAGGCAUAACACUUGAGAUUGUCAGGUCCGUGGCCAAGAGAACAAUCCGAGGUACCACACCCCAUUAACGCCCUAUAUUAGAGAGAAUGAAACCCUCGAAGAAGUUCCAAUCCUCUGAGUUCAACUCUAUACACGAGAAUUCAAACUCUAGGUUCUCACAUCAUCCAUUUCAAACAAUGAGGCACUUUAAAUCAUUCGAUGACUCAUGUGCGGGAUAUUUUCAUCACUUGGGGAUCUCCGGGUUGAAAUGGUUUGAUAAGCUUCCCGAUAGAUCCCUUGGGAGCUUUUACCCAACUUACCGAUUCAUACUUACUUGGUUUGUUAUCAACACAAAUGCACCAAGUGGUCAACUGCUCUACUGACAUUAGAAAAGGCCAGAAUGAAAUGGCUUCACAACUAUAGAAAAGUUAUUAGGACUGUACAAAGAGAUCGGAGGGUGUUCAGAAAAGCUAGCCAUGGUCAGCUACAAGCCUGGGCUGACCUCAAGCGAGAAGCUUGGGAGGACCUGACGCUCAACUCUCCAGUUGACCUCUAGAAUCUCAUGUCUCGGGUCAAAAUGUUCGCUCAGUCCAGCCAGCGAUGAGGAAGCCAAGAUAAGGCAUGUCCGAGCCAAGAAGCAUCACUGUUUUACCAACGGCAGAUUUUGAGGCGGUUCAGUACCCCACAACGAUCCUUUGGUCUCCAAUUGCAGAUCCAUGGCUACGAUUCAAACGAUCUUUGAACUCCAGCAUUUUAGUUGAAGGUGAUGUAUUAUGAACUUUUUUAAUAAAUUAAACGUUUGAGGUUGCCUCUAAAGCCGGCCCUAGCUUUGUUAGUCGGGUCAACACUUGUCCCAUUGGCCAUUGAGAACUGUAACCUCAAGAAUCCAGAUGGUUUCCAAGUAGUUAGUGACAGAGUUCAUGUUUAUUAAUCUCGCUUCCUUGAUGCAAUCGUCGAUCGAGAUUUGUUUACAUAAGAGGAAGGAAGUAUGCAUCACAUUCACAAGGUCCUCAGGUUUGUCGCUCGCCAAGGUAGAGAACCACUCCAUGGAGAACCAAUGGCGUAAAGACAAUGGCUAUCUCAUAACAAUAUCAUAAAGGCAUCAUGAAGAAGAGCGCUGGUGGAACUGGAGAGGGAGUCUGAACAAUCUUAAAAUAAGCCCCAGGUCAGUCAAAAUAUACUUCCUAUACCUCGAUAAGCAAUCCUGACUAUUAUUCCAUGUUCAGAAAUGAAUAGUCGCAAGAGGAGAAAACUAUUUAUAGGAAGUCCAAGAGAUGGGCAAAUAUUCGAACACACCCUUAAGGAAUGUUGUUUGCCAGGCCAAGAAUUCUGGCUCUGAACCAAUCGGGAGCGAACAUGUGGUGACUCAAUCACCUCGCGUCCAAGCCAAACAACCCUUAAGGGUAGGCAUCCGUGCUCAAACCGAGCUUAAGGUGAGUCAGACUUUGACACGUGGCACCGUAAUACAGCAAAGUGACAAAUCCAUAAAGAGUUUAGACAGCUUGCAGGCACUGGCACAACUAUCUUGUCGAGCUUCAGCAUUAAACAUCACAAAUAUCAAACUCACAUGACCUCACUAGCAGUAGAUCUAGCUCAGGCGAAACUGAGGACAAUUAUAGGAUAAAAUAUUACGUAAAAGCUCUGGCUGAGCUCAGGCAGCACCGCUGCCGGAUUGUUGCUCUAUACAACAAGCUCGGCUAGGUCUUUGCCUGGGCUUGGUCUAGAUGCAACAUUAGUCUUCAGUUAGCACACUGUGUCAAAUUUGUCACUCCAAGCACUCGGAGGGUCACUGCACCAGGAACUUGGUCAAGGACGCAAUGGUCCGUGGUGAUCCCAGCACAUUAGGAGACUGAAGGUGACUUGCUGGUAAGGUCUACGCCUACUACUCAUAACACAGCAAUCACGUUUAGCGCGUGCUGCAGUCUAUCCAGUGACAUGAGGGUUGGCACGGCCUAAUCUCGUCAAAUUGCUAUUAAGCCACCUUACUCUGCGAAAGUAUGGCAAUUUUAGAUACUCUAAGCUUAGACACCUCUCUCUCUCUCUCCAUACACGUUAUACCACCGAUUAUCUAAACUUGACUGUCGGUAGGUCCUUCCCGAUAGCUCCAGUUCGGAACACAUAUAACUAAGCAGUCCCAGCAGCCCCGUCGAUUGUCUCUUGGCCACCACAUGUGUUCUAAUCUUUAAUUUCCUCUCUUCCUUCUAGUACUUACAACUCCCCA
rnacentral:lncRNA from 1 species